UCCCACAAUGCAUUGCUUUGUGACUUCAUAAAUUCAGGUGGCCACCGUGUUUACUAAAAUGAGACGAGAUAAAAUACGAUACCUCUGUCAAAGUAGAUAUAGCAUGAUGUCAUGUUGUGGAGAUAGCUAGCGUGCCCAUGAUCUUCUUAUGCGAUUCGUGAGUUGCUGAAAUUGUCCGCUAGCAAAUAUAUGUUUAUACUCGUCUGCGGCAUUAACGUCUUGAGAUAUACAGCUAUAAAAGUUAGCAUUAGCAAGCUACUGUAGUUAGCCAACUAUUUGUGCCUUGAUUGGCGCAUUAGUUAUAUUUUACUUCAGUGUUUGGUGUCAGGUCAGCUAGCUAGUAUCGAUUACGAACUAGUAACGUUAGCUAACUUGCCUCAAACCACAGGUAACGUUAGCUAGCUAAACAGCUAGUCAGGUAACAGUUAGCUAAUUCGACUUGUUAACUCUGGCUAGCCUCACAGCUGGAUCUUUCCACGAUGUGAGUUGGUGCUCGCCUUGCGCAUCAGCUAGUGUUUGUUUACAAUCCUAAAAUGUACACCUUAUUAUCUGGUCUGUACAAAUACGUGUUCCAGAAGGACGAAUACUGCAUCUUGAUCCUAGGACUGGACAAUGCAGGAAAAACGACAUUUCUGGAACAGACUAAGACCAAGUUCAGUAAGAACUACAAGGGAAUGAAUUUGUCCAAAAUCACCACUACAGUUGGACUAAACAUCGGCACAAUCGAUGUGGGCAAGGCUCGUCUAAUGUUCUGGGACCUUGGUGGUCAAGAGGAGCUUCAGUCGCUGUGGGACAAAUACUAUGCUGAGUCCCACGGAGUGAUCUAUGUGAUAGACUCCACCGAUGAGGAGCGCCUAUCAGAAUCAAAAGAGGCCUUUGAGAAAAUGAUCAGCAGUGAGGUUUUGGAAGGUGUGCCUCUCCUGGUGCUCGCCAACAAGCAGGAUGUGGAGAACUGCAUGUCUGUGCCAGACAUCAAAACUGCUUUUAGCGACUGCGCUCCAAAGAUUGGGAAAAGAGAUUGCCUGGUGCAGCCUUGCACAGCCCUAACCGGGUAAGAACAGAGUCCGCAUUACUCUGUUGUAUAUCGGGUCUGAGAUUGCCUGGUGCAGCCUUGCACAGCCCUAACCGGGCAGGGGGUUAACGAAGGCAUUGAGUGGAUGGUGAAGUGCGUCAUCAGAAACAUUCACCGGACACCGAGACAGAAGGACAUCACAUAGAACAAGCCAUGACCUUCCCAACUCCAGAGCUCCCACAACCAGGAGGUAUUCAUUAGGCACCAAAUGGUAGAAAGCAGACUGAAACAGGGAGGGACUAUAUGGACUUACUGUCUAAUAUGAACGGUUUUCGAUUGAAAUACAACCUUAAUGAAUACGAACGACCCAGGUGUCCCUUUUACUACAAUGUGACUUCCAGAAACCGUGAUGAACUCUACCCAAGCCCUGGCUCCCUGUCCUCUUAUUUGGGUGCUCUGAACUCAUUUAGUUUUCAGAUGCAGCUUAGCGUCAGGGGGAUACAAUUGGGGAUACAAUUGAUUAUUGUGUAUUAUUUGGAUAUGUACCUUGAGGUGUAAAGCUUUUGAAGGCUUUUUCCUUUUCGCCUCAGCUAAUGUGUGUCUUUCUGACCAAACUAUUAUAGCGUCAUCAUGUCGUUAAAGUUUCUCCCUGGCUCUCAGUACCUCCCUUCGGUAAUAUAAUUCCAGGACCUCUAUUCAUAAAGCAUCUCUGAAUAGGGGUACUGAUCUAGGAUCAGUUUAGCCUUUUAGAUCAUAAAGAAUCAGAUUUAUAUGGAUUAUAUUACUCUCAACCCAAUUAGGUUUAGUAGUCUAUCAUUUAACGGUCAAGAGGAUGAAACAUGACAACUUUAUGAUUCAUAUUAUGCAAAGACACUACAUGUAAUGGAAUUGUACAUUGUAACAGAGGGUCAACGAUAUAUUCAUAGACGGGAAAUACUAGUUUUAGAGUUCGAAAUGCCGUGUGGUGUUUGUGUAUGGUUGAGUACCAAAUGGCACCGCAUAGGGCUCUGGUCAAUAGUAGUGCACUGUAUAGGGAAUAGGAUGCCAUUUGGGACACGCCCUCUCUUUUCACUCUGUCAGUCUAACCUGGUGACAUAUGUAAAGUAACGCCGAUGAUCAGGCUGAAAACGUAUUUUAAUUACAGUAUGAGGAAGAUUAUGUAAUAAACAUUUCAGAACAGUUAACUGUAGUUUGACUUUAGUUCUUAGAUUUCUGUUGAUGUGAUGAAUACAUGUAUAGAAUGUCAGCAUUUUUCUUUUUUUAAGGAGAUCGGAAAUUCCGGUUCCUUUUUUUAUGAUAUUUUUUCUGAGACAGACCACUAGGAAGGUAGAGUGGGAUACACAUGAAGAGGGGAAAACCGUCAUGAUGGGAUUCAAACCCUCGUCACCAGGGUAAUGGUAAUACUUUAUCAGUUGAAGUUAGUUGAUUUUUUUCAUCAAAAUGUUCUUACUCACCUGCAUGUAAUACCCACUGGAAAAUGUAUUAAGUUAUAACUUUUUCUCGAUAACGUAAUUACGUUCUGUUCAAGUUCAACAUGUUUAUUAUGCUAUCUGGUGAUGUAUUACGUAAAAUAAGAUAACGUAUUCCAUUACGGCAAGUUAUGCCGUGUUACUGCGUUAUCCGUUGUUCCAGGGUGUAAACUUGUUUGAAUACAUUUGACCACCAAUCUCUUAUUAUAGACCUUACUUAUACAACUGCUUGCAUUCCUAAAUAUUGGACUGAGUGAGGGAGUGGUGGUCUCCCAUUGCUUUAUUCAAACAUAUUGAUUCCACUUCACAAGGUCCCUGGAUCUAUCUAUUUGACUUAGUGCCUUCAGAAAAUGUUCAUACUCCUUGACUUAUACCACAUUUUGUUGAGUUCAACAUGGAUUAAAUGUGUUUUUUCUCAUUCA